ensembl:snoRNA
GCACGGAGAUGGAUUGAUGGUAGGCCCUUCUCUGUGGGCCUCUCAGAGUGCACCGGGGCCACCUGCUGACCGGUGGGCUGUGAGCACUGAA